rnacentral:rRNA from 1 species
UGGGUGAUUUGCCGUGAAGUUGGGGAUAACUCGCUGAAAGGCGAGCUAAUACCGAAUGUGAAAAUCGGGAGGCAUCUUCUGAUUUUUAAAGUUGGGGACCGUAAGGCCUGACGCUUCACGAUAAGCCCGCGGCCUAUCAGCUAGUUGGUGAGGUAACGGCUCACCAAGGCUAAGACGGGUAGCUGGUCUGAGAGGACGACCAGUCACACUGGAACUGACACACGGUCCAGACACCUACGGGUGGCAGCAGUCGAGAAUUUUUCUCAAUGGGCGAAAGCCUGAAGGAGCGACGCCGCGUGGGGGAUNAAGGGCUUCGGCUCGUAAACCCCUGUCAUUUGCGAACAAACCUUAC